rnacentral:rRNA from 1 species
CCUACGGGUGGCGGCAGUGGGGAAUAGUGGGCAAUGGACGCAAGUCGGACCCAGCAACGCCGCGGGAAGGAAGAAGGCUGUCGGGUUGUAAACGUCGUUUAAGGGGGAAGAGCAGAAGACGGUACCCCUGGAAUAAGCCACGGCUAACGACGUGCCAGCAGCCGCGGUAAUACGUAGGUGGCAAGCGUUGUCCGGAUUUACGGGGUGGAAAGGGCGUGCAGCCGGCGAGACUAGUCAGAUGUGAAAUCCACGGGCUCAACCCAUGAACUGCAUUGGAAACGGUUUCCCUUGAGUGUCGGAGUGUUAAUCGGCAUUCCUCUUGUAGCGGUUCACUGCGUAGCUAUUAG